rnacentral:rRNA from 1 species
AACGUAGACGGUUGGAUAAGUCGGAUGUGAAAGCCCCGGGCUCAACCUGGGAAUUGCAUUCGGGACUGUUCAGCUAGGGUGCGGAAGAGGGAAGCGGAAUUUCCGGUGUAGCGGUGAAAUGCGUAGAUAUCGGAAGGAACACCAGUGGCGAAAGCGGCUUCCUGGUCCAGCACCGACGUUCAGGUUCGAAAGCAUGGGGAGCAAACAGGAUUAGAGUACCCUGGUAGUCCAUGCCAUAAACGAUGAGGACUAGACGUUGAGAGGGUAAGCCUCGCAGUGUCGUAGCUAACGCGCUAAGUCCUCCGCCUGGGGAGUACGGCCGCAAGGUUGAA